UCACGAGGUACUCCCCAUUCCAGCAUGAACAGAAACCAUUACGCAAAUCACUAAUCAUUAUAAUCUGCUUAUAGAUUUGGUUAAUGCACAAUUAGACCUUUCUAUUCAUUGAAAUGUUAUGAAACGGAUUACACAACACAAUUGAAUUUAACGGCAUUUAGUUGCCAUUUAAUUUGAAAAAAACAACAACAUAUUUUUCGGUGUCUUUGAAGCAUGCAGCGGCCAGUCUCAAAGGAUGACUUCUGACUGAUGCAUAAAGGUGUGGGAGCUGCACAUAUAGGCCAACUGCACAUGAAACAAGUGCUUCCAACACGUCAUGAACUUAUGCAGAUAACACCACAUCUGAGAGAGAACUCGUUACCCAUCACCCAUCAGUCAACCCAAUAUGGCUUUGAAAAAGCACAGGCUGUGAGGCAGUUUGGGCACUUCCCUUUGGACAACAGCCCUGAGACCAAUAUAGAUCAAACAAUAACUGACUAAUUAACACAAUAUACAACAAUACAGUUUCUCCCAGAGUUUUAAUGACUUUGUGAGUACUAAAUCCAACCCACAUCUCCUCUGCAGUAGCACAGAGCCAGCAAGCUCCCUUCCCUUCCCAGCUAUGGCUCCCCCUAGCCGUGCUUCCAUAUUUCCUUGUUUAUGCACAGCAUAAUGUCCUGUCCCUCCCUUCUCUAUAACAUUAUACAGACACCACCUAGCACCUGAAAACCUCUCUUUUUCUGGAUAAAUUUUGAGAUUAGAGUCUCUAUAUACCCCAUAUCCAUCUAAUGACACCCUAACCAUAGUGGAACAUAGCUUU